rnacentral:rRNA from 1 species
AUUGAACGCUAGCGGCAGGCCUAACACAUGCAAGUCGAGCGAGCGGCGGACGGGGGAGUAAUGUAUGGGGACUGCCCGAUAGAGGGGGAUAACUACUGGAAAAGGUAGCUAAUACCGCAUACUAUCGGAUAACCCAUAUGGGAUUAGCUAGUAGGUGAGGUAAGGGCGCACCUAGGCGACGAUACCUAGCGGGUCUGAGAGGAGGAUCAGCCACACUGGGAAUGAGACACGGCCCAGACUCCUACGGAGGCAGCAGGGGGGAAUAUUGCACAAGGGGCGCAAGCCUGCUGCAGCCAUGCCGCGUGUAUGAAGAAGGCCCUCGGGUUGUAAAGUACUUUCAGUCGGGAGGCGUUACCGACAGAAGAAGCACCGGCUAACGCCGUGCCAGCAGCCGCGGUAAUUC